rnacentral:rRNA from 1 species
GAUGAACGCUGGCGGCGUGCCUAAUACAUGCAAGUCGAGCGAACAGACGAGGGGCUUGCUCCUCUGACGUUAGCGGCGGACGGGUGAGUAACACGUGGAUAACCUACCUAUAAGACUGGGAUAACUUCGGGAAACCGGAGCUAAUACCGGAUAAUAUAUUGAACCGCAUGGUUCAAUAGUGAAAGACGGUUUUGCUGUCACUUAUAGAUGGAUCCGCGCCGCAUUAGCUAGUUGGUAAGGUAACGGCUUACCAAGGCAACGAUGCGUAGCCGACCUGAGAGGGUGAUCGGCCACACUGGAACUGAGACACGGUCCAGACUCCUACGGGAGGCAGCAGUAGGGAAUCUUACGCAAUGGGCGAAAGCCUGACGGAGCAACGCCGCGUGAAUGAUGAAGGUCUUCGGAUCGUAAAACUCUGUUAUUAGGGAAGAACAAAUGUGUAAGUAACUAUGCACGUCUUGACGGUACCUAAUCAGAAAGCCACGGCUAACUACGUG